rnacentral:lncRNA from 13 species
GCCUCAGCGUCCCCACAUGCUGGAUUACAUGCGUGAACCACCGCGCCCAGCCUGCCAUCUGGAGAAGCCUGCGUCCCACUAUCACCGCCGUACGUAUUCUUUUUCUUUUAAAUAGUUACCCAGACGUAGUGCAUAUGCAAACAAAUUUACUUAUUUAAAGUAGGUGAUUCCUUGUUUUUACUCUAUUUAUAGGGUUGUGCAACCAUUGUUAGAGUCUAAUUGUAGAAGCUCUUUUUCCCUUUCAGGAAACUUGCUCAGUAGUGACUCCUCUUUUCUUCCCCACCCCCCACGCCCCAGGUUCUAGGCAGCCCUAAUUUACUUCCUGUUUCUGUUGUACACUUUCUUGCUGUAUUAACCGGUUCUU